AUACGGAGGGUGCAAGCGUUAAUCGGAAUUACUGGGCGUAAAGCGUACGUAGGCGGUCCGUUAAGUUAGAUGUGAAAGCCCCGGGCUUAACCUGGGAACUGCAUUUAAAACUGGCGAACUAGAGUUGAGUAGAGGGGAGUGGAAUUUCAGGUGUAGCGGUGAAUGCGUAGAGAUCUGAAGGAACACCAGUGGCGAAGGCGACUCCCUGGACUCGAACUGACGCUGAGGUACGAAAGCGUGGGUAGCAAACGGGAUUAGAUACCCCAGUAGUCC
rnacentral:rRNA from 1 species